GAAGGAUACGGUCUGGGAGAGAAGGACUGUGCUUGGCGGAGAAGUGAGAGAUGCUCUGCUUUGAGGACAGAAAGUCACAAACAAUAUUUCCAACUGCCACUGGUCUUGUGUCCUUUGUACACAAACAGUGGAACUGGUUGGUUGUUCAAGAGGACAGCGAGACACUGGGGAUCAUUUGAAUGCUUUUGCAGGUCCCAGAGGAUGGAGUGGGAAUAAGAGGAAAGCAGAGGUCAGCCCAAGGAAAAGAAGUCUCUGUCUGUGAGCGGGGGCUGCUUCCCAGAAAAGACAACACCCAGUGACCUACUUAGCAAAUGGAAACACAAACCAGAGAAAUCAGCCAAGGUCAUGGAUACACAGCCUCUCCUGACCAGCUAACUCCAGGUGUUCAGAGCAAGAACAAAAUGUGCUGACAUGAGGGAGUUCCCUUAAACUUCCCUGGGCAACAAAUCACAGACUGUUGAAUUUCUUGCUUUUCUAAGACUUUGUUAAAUAAAUGGCAGCAGCAAGCUGAGGUCCAGUCUAUAUGUGCUUUCCUGGUUUGGAUGAAGGCAACAUCUAAGAACAGCUCUUCCCCGGCCUUUAAAACAAAAUUUUCCCGAAGUUAAAAGAGAGAAAUACAUUCUUCCUGCUGGAUAUCACAUUUAAAGGUUUAGGACAUCCAGCAACUGACAGGAGUUUUAGAAAUGACAAAGAAAAUCUCUUCACAUUUAAAAAAACGGAACUCAAACCAGGAGAAGGAACCUGAACCCUGGUGAUGCAGAAGCCUGCUUCCAUUCCUCACCAUCUGGUCCCCACUGCCGAAGAUCCUCACACCCAGCAAACGCCGGGCACGACUCUCUUUUCAUUGUUUGCUUUCCAGAACUAUCAUUGGAACCAAGAAGGUUCCAAUCGUAGUAGACUUAGCUGUCACCAGAAUGGAGUUCUGGGUUCUAACUCCAUAGCAGGCUCUAGGUAGGAUUGGGAUGGCGGGAAGGGAGGAAGGGACAUUUAGUAUCCACUCAUCCUACUCAUAGUCGGACCAUUUUGAACCAGUUUCUAGAACUCUCUAACUAUUAUCUUAACUGACUGAUUACUAAAAGCUACUGCUCUAUAUGAGAUGGCCAGCUUCGUUUUUCUCCCGUCUUCAUUUUUCUCCCAGCUUCGUUUUUCUCCCUUCUAGAACAACAGGAAUCACACCACAGCCAGAGAAUGCUUUCAGAAAUGCACACUCUUAAUAGCUAAGCUGGGGACUUUUUGAGGUCAGGGAACAAGAACAAUGGCAGCCUGGCUGGCACAGGAUGAUGUGUCUCUUUUGCUAAAGCUCAGCUGGUAAUCAAAAUGGAGAUUAAUUUCUUGUACCCAUUUUUGCCCUCAGCUUCCUGAUAUAAUUUAAU
rnacentral:lncRNA from 1 species